UAUUGCACAAUGGGCGCAAGCCUGAUGCAGCAACGCCGUGUGAGUGAAGAAGGUUUUCGGAUCGUAAAACUCUGUCCUAAGGGAAGAAACAAAUGACGGUACCUUAGGAGGAAGCCCCGGCUAACUACGUGCCAGCAGCCGCGGUAAUACGUAGGGGGCAAGCGUUAUCCGGAAUCACUGGGCGUAAAGGGUGCGUAGGCGGCUUAGCAAGCCAGGGGUGAAAGGCAUUGGCUCAACCAAUGUAAGCCUUUGGAACUGUUAAGCUUGAGUGCAGGAGAGGUAAGGUGGAAUUCCUAGUGUAGAGGUGAAAAUUCGUAGAUAUUAGGAGGAACACCAGUGGCGAAGGCGACUUACUGGACUGUAAACUGACGCUGAUGCACGAAAGCGUGGGUAGCGAACAGGAUUAGAUACCCUUGUAG
rnacentral:rRNA from 1 species